CCCUUUAAAGAAAGCGUAAUAGCUCACUAGUCGAGUCGGCCUGCGCGGAAGAUGUAACGGGGCUCAAACCAUGCACCGAAGCUACGGGUAUCAUCUUUUGAUGAUGCGGUAGAGGAGCGUUCUGUAAGCCUGUGAAGGUGAGUUGAGAAGCUUGCUGGAGGUAUCAGAAGUGCGAAUGCUGACAUGAGUAACGACAAUUGAUGAUGCGGUAGAGGAGCGUUCUGUAAGCCUGUGAAGGUGAGUUGAGAAGCUUGCUGGAGGUAUCAGAAGUGCGAAUGCUGACAUGAGUAACGACAAUGGGUGUGAAAAACACCCACGCCGAAAGACCAAGGUUUCCUGCGCAACGUUAAUCGACGCAGGGUUAGUCGGUCCCUAAGGCGAGGCUGAAAAGCGUAGUCGAUG
rnacentral:rRNA from 1 species